rnacentral:lncRNA from 1 species
CCUAUAGAGCCUGUGCCUCUGUGAGCUGCAAGGGCCCUUCUAACCCAACCCUAUAAACGUCUACAAGCUGCAAGGACCCUUCCAACCCAACCCUACAAACUCUAAGCCUCUAUGAGCUGCAAGGACCCUACCAUCAUCCUCAUGAACCCUUCCAACCCAACCCUACAAAGUCUGUGCCUCUAUGAGCUGCAAGGACCCUUCCAUCAUUUUCAUGGACCCUUCCAACCCAACCCUACAGACUCUAAGCCUCUACGAGCUGCAAGGACCCUUCUAACCCAAUCCUAUAGUCUAAACCUCUACAAUCUGCAAGGACCCUUCCACCCCAACCCUACAGACUCUAAGCCUCUAUGAGCUGCAAGGACCCUUCCAUCACUUUUCAGGGACCCUUCCACCCCAACCAUUCCCUGGCUCUGUGGCCUUCCAGGACCCUUCCACCCCAACCAGUCUGUGCCUCUGUGACCUUCCAGGACCCUUC